rnacentral:rRNA from 1 species
GACGAACGCUGGCGGCGUGCCUAAUACAUGCAAGUCGAGCGAAGUUUUUCUGGUGCUUGCACUAGAAAAACUUAGCGGCGAACGGGUGAGUAACACGUAAAGAACCUGCCUCAUAGACUGGGACAACUAUUGGAAACGAUAGCUAAUACCGGAUAACAGUAUUUCUCGCAUGAGAGAUAUUUAAAAGUUGGUUAUGCUAACACUAUGAGAUGGCUUUGCGGUGCAUUAGCUAGUUGGUGGGGUAAAGGCCCACCAAGGCGACGAUGCAUAGCCGACCUGAGAGGGUGAUCGGCCACACUGGGACUGAGACACGGCCCAGACUCCUACGGGAGGCAGCAGUAGGGAAUCUUCCGCAAUGGGCGAAAGCCUGACGGAGCAACGCCGCGUGAGUGAAGAAGGAUUUCGGUUCGUAAAGCUCUGUUGUUAGAGAAGAAUGGAUAUGUAGUAACUAUACAUGUAAGAGACGGUACCUAACCAGAAAGCCACGGCUAACUACGUG